rnacentral:rRNA from 1 species
UAACCGAUCUCGCGUAAUGCUCUAGAUUUANNGUUGAUCAUGGCUCAGCACUGAGACGCUUGGUCGUGCCAGCCUAACACAUGCAAGUCGAGCGGUAACACAGGGAGCUUGCUCCUGGGUGACGAGCGGCGGACGGGUGAGUAAUGUCUGGGAAACUGCCUGAUGGAGGGGGAUAACUACUGGAAACGGUAGCUAAUACCGCAUAACGUCUUCGGACCAAAGUGGGGGACCUUCGGGCCUCAUGCCAUCAGAUGUGCCCAGAUGGGAUUAGCUAGUAGGUGGGGCAACGGCUCACCUAGGCGACGAUCCCUAGCUGGUCUGAGAGGAUGACCAGCCACACUGGAACUGAGACACGGUCCAGACUCCUACGGGAGGCAGCAGUGGGGAAUAUUGCACAAUGGGCGCAAGCCUGAUAGCAGCCAUGCCGCGUGUAUGAAGAAGGCCUUCGGGUUGUAAAGUACUUUCAGCGAGGAGGAAGGCAUUAAGGUUAAUAACCUUGGUGAUUGACGUUACUCGCAGAAGAAGCACCGGCUAAACUACCGUGCCAGCAAGCGCGGUAAUUACGGAGGGGUUGGCCCAAAGGCCGGUUUAAAUUCGGGGGAAAAAUUUAACCCUAGGGGGCNGGUUAAAAAANACGGCGCACACCACAGGGCGGGGGCUUGUUGUCACAAAGUCUCNCGGAUUUUUAAAAUCCCCCCCGGGGGGUCUUCAAAACCCUUGGGAAACUCUGNGUUUUCUCAANACCAUGGGCGCGNGGCCUAAGAGUCUCUUUUAUCA